AUACGGAGGAUCCGAGCGUUAUCCGGAUUUAUUGGGUUUAAAGGGUGCGUAGGCGGCCAUUUAAGUCAGCGGUUAAAUCGUGGGGCUCAACCCCAUUCUGCCGUUGAUACUGGGUGGCUUGAUUGCGGUCGAGGUUGGCGGAAUUCGUUGUGUAGCGGGGAAAUGCAUAGAUAUGACGAAGAACACCGAUUGCGUAGGCAGCUGACCAGACCGCAAAUGACGCUCAUGCACGAAAGUGCGGGGAUCGAACAGGAUUAGAUACCCUGGUAGUCCGCACAGUAAACGAUGAAUACUUGGUUUCGGCGAUAUAAUGUCGGAGGCAAAGCGAAAGCGAUAAGUAUUCCACCUGGGGAGUACGCCGGCAACGGUGAAACUCAAAUGAAUUGACGGGG
rnacentral:rRNA from 1 species